CUUUGAUUAGGAGUUUUGGAGAACUUGGGAUGGUUGAAGAAUUAUUAUUUGUGUGGCGACAAAUGAAAGAAAAUGGUAUUGAGCCUAGUUUAUAUACGUAUAACUUUUUGAUGAAUGGACUGGUGAAUUCUAUGUUUGUUGAAUCUGCCGAACGCGUUUUUGAGGUUAUGGAAAGCGGGAAAGUUAAUCCGGAUAUUGUUACGUAUAAUACUAUUAUUAAGGGGUACUGCAGAUCUGGGAAGCUUCAAAAAGCAAUGGAGAAAUUUAGAGAUAUGGAGGUUAGGAAAGUAGAGCCUGACAAGAUUACCUACAUGACUGUGAUGCAAGCAUGUUACGCGGAUGGAGAUUUUGAUUAUUGUUUGGGACUCUAUCACGAAAUGGAGGAAAAGGACUUGGAUAUUCCACCACACGCUUAUACGUUAGUGAUUGGAGGGCUUUGUAAAAUGGGGAAGGUUUUGGAAGGGUUUACUGUUUUUGAAAAUAUGAUCAAGAAAGGUUUUAGACCUAAUCUGUCAAUUUAUACUGCUCUAAUUGAUUCAUACAUGAAACAUGGAAACUUGGAUGAGGCUAUGAGACUUUUUGAUAGAAUGAAGAAUGAAGG
rnacentral:misc_RNA from 1 species